rnacentral:rRNA from 1 species
AGCGCAGGCGGACCGGCAAGUUGGAAGUGAAAUCCAUGGGCUCAACCCAUGAACUGCUUUCAAAACUGUUUUUCUUGAGUAGUGCAGAGGUAGGCGGAAUUCCCGGUGUAGCGGUGGAAUGCGUAGAUAUCGGGAGGAACACCAGUGGCGAAGGCGGCCUACUGGGCACCAACUGACGCUGAGGCUCGAAAGUGUGGGUAGCAAACA